CCGAGUUCAUGCCCUCACGGGUAGAUCUCCCACCCUUGAAUAUUUAUACCUUAGUUGCUUUGGCAGGCCGUGGAAACACCAUGGGCUCCGGCUUGUGCGUGCCUGCCAGAGGAAACAAACUCUGUUUUUAGUGAUGUCUGAGUACUAUAUAAUAGUUA
rnacentral:misc_RNA from 1 species